rnacentral:misc_RNA from 1 species
CACCACUCAAGCCCGGCUUGGUAUUGGGCGGUAGGGCUCCCCUACGCCCCAAUUUCACCGGCUGGACGACCCGUAUCUCAGCGUUGUGGUAUUAAAAUUCGCUGGCGAGAAGGGCGGCCACGCCGUUAAAAUUUCCAUCAA